GGGUUGUGAGGUUAAGCGACUAAGCGUACACGGUGGAUGCCCUGGCAGUCAGAGGCGAUGAAGGGCGUGCUAAUCUGCGAUAAGCGCCGGUAAGGUGAUAUGAACCGUUAUAACCGGCGAUACCCGAAUGGGGAAACCCAGUGUGACUCGUCACACUAUCAUUAACUGAAUCCAUAGGUUAAUGAGGCGAACCGGGGGAACUGAAACAUCUAAGUACCCCGAGGAAAAGAAAUCAACCGAGAUUCCCCCAGUAGCGGCGAGCGAACGGGGAGGAGCCCAGAGCCUGAAUCAGCAUGUGUGUUAGUGGAAGCGUCUGGAAAGGCGCGCGAUACAGGGUGACAGCCCCGUACACAAAAGCGCAUGUGCUGUGAGCUCGAUGAGUAGGGCGGGACACGUGGUAUCCUGUCUGAAUAUGGGGGGACCAUCCUCCAAGGCUAAAUACUCCUGACUGACCGAUAGUGAACCAGUACCGUGAGGGAAAGGCGAAAAGAACCCCGGCGAGGGGAGUGAAAAAGAACCUGAAACCGUGUACGUACAAGCAGUGGGAGCCCCACCACUAAGCCAGUGGUGAACUCCACAUACGCAUCCUUUGCUGAGGAUACGGUUAACGGAGCGAAAGCGACGUUCAACCGCAAAAGAAGCAGAGGGGGCUUAGUGGUGGGGUGACUGCGUACCUUUUGUAUAAUGGGUCAGCGACUUAUAUUCUGUAGCAAGGUUAACCGAAUAGGGGAGCCGGAGGGAAACCGAGUCUUAAUUGGGCGUUAAGUUGCAGGGUAUAGACCCGAAACCCGGUGAUCUAGCCAUGGGCAGGUUGAAGGUUGGGUAACACUAACUGGAGGACCGAACCG
rnacentral:rRNA from 1 species